rnacentral:rRNA from 1 species
GACGAACGCUGGCGGCGUGCUUAACACAUGCAAGUCGAACGGAAAGGCCUUUUCGGCGGUACUCGAGUGGCGAACGGGUGAGUAACACGUGGGUGAUCUGCCCUGCACUCUGGGAUAAGCCUGGGAAACUGGGUCUAAUACCGGAUAGGACCGCACUUUAGUGUGUGUGGUGGAAAGUUUUUUCGGUGUAGGAUGAGCCCGCGGCCUAUCAGCUUGUUGGUGGGGUAAUGGCCUACCAAGGCGGCGACGGGUAGCCGGACUGGGAGGUUGGGCGGCCACAUUGGGACUGAGAGACGGCCCAGACGCCUACGGGAGGCAGCAGUGGGGAAGAUUGAACAAUGGGCGCAAGCCGGAUGCAGCGACGCCGCGUGGGGGAUGACGGCCUUCGGGUUGAAAACUCCUUUCGCCAGGGACGAAGCGUUUUGUGACGGUACCUGGAGAAGAAGCACCGGCUAACUACGUG